rnacentral:misc_RNA from 1 species
UGUGGGAGCGAGCUUGCUCGCGAUAGCGGUGGGUCAGUCACAGUAAUGUUGGAUGUGCUGCCGUCAUCGCGAGCAAGCUCGCUCCCACA